GACUAUUAGGUGGCUUGGGUUUCCAGUUAAAAUUGCCAUCUGACGAGUUCCUUGCGACCCGUCAUUAAGGAAAUUUUUGUCGUAACUGUGGCUAUGGUUUCGAAAAGAAUGGCAGCCUCGGUAGCUGGAUAUCCUGAAGGCUCAAAAGAUAAGAUAUAUCCGUUAUUUCUUUAGGGGUACAAUCUCUUUCAAAUCCGAACGAAGUGUCUGAUGGCUUUCCAACCAUCGAUCCCACCUUAUGCUUGGAAUGCAUCUCACUUGAAUAUGCAGGUUAAGGUAUUGUUCGUAGUUUCAAAUUGGAGGAAUUUGAUAGCUGUCGUGAGAUCCCAUCUGGGGCUGAAUUGGGUGUACAAUUGGCCUAGUCUUAUCUGGACAUUUAAUAAUUUGUGUGCAAGUGCUUCUUCCGAGACUUGCGGCUGGUUUGUUGUUCGAUCUCGUUUCCUCGCAUUUGUGCUCAGUGUAGAUCAGGGUUUGUGUGAAGGGUUGGGAAUUUGAAGCGGACGUGCUAGCUUGGGUCGAUUGGUUGAGUGAAUAGGGGUGUUGUUGAGGGUGUUGAUGUGUUGGUCACCACCAGUUGCGCAGAGUGGCUUAGGGUUAGCCAACAUUCUGGCUCAGGUCGUCAUGCUUUCAGAGAAAGAUAUUCGUGGUGUGCUUUCGGUUGAGAUCAUGGAGCUUGUGCUGUCUUUUCUGCUGCCGACCGAGUUGUGCACAUUUCUGUGCACUUGCAAGAGAUGGAACGGACCGAUCGGCGAGCCGAGCUUUCGUGAGGCUUGCAUUCGAAGUUGGAGUAAUCAAUUAUAUUUUGUUUACGAUGUGCGGUUUUGAUCCCUAGUUUAGCAUGUCUGGCUACUCCCACUUGACGUGUGCUUUCUCAAACUGGAUGCAAGGAGCUGGUAUUCAAUUGAAGUUGUCUCUCGCGUGUAGAAGGAUCUCUUCUGUACAUCUUGGCUAUGGACGACGGUAUUUUUCUGCAGUCUCCCUCAAGAUUACGCCACAUGGACUCGAUUACCCUUUGGCCUUUUUCGACCCAAUUUCGACAAUAAGGACACUGCUAGCUUCACAUCAUCUUUGAGUUUUUUGCCGAUAUAGCCACUUCUAUGUAAGAAGUCACUCGCAGGUUCUAGGUAUCUUUCGUGACGAGGUCACGAAGUCCUCAGUUUUGAGUGUACCUGCACUAAUUAUUUUCUAAUGAAUGGCGGGGAUUAGAAUAGCUAUUUUAUGAGCUUGAGAAGAUGAUUCCAGUUCCAACCGCUGACUGACACAGCUGCCAAAUAUCAUGGUGCAGUGGAUAAGGCAUUAGUUUUUCCAAGCUACGACUGUCAGAAAAAUGCGUGGGUCCAUGACUGGCGGAUUAAUCUGCCCUGGGUUCUCUUGCUCGUUGUGGAGGACGAAGACUGUGUGAUCGGGCAGGCAGCUAGAUUUGAUGUAUGGGAUGAUUGAUGUCUGGACAAUAAAAAGGGCUUGAAGGCAGUACUGAUAGCUCAGAUAAUAAGAUCUCAGCUUCAGCUACUGUUUAGUGAGCAGGUCUCCCAGUUUCAUCUUCCUAAUGAAGGUUCUUGUUUCGACCGCACUGGCUUCUGCAACUCUCUUAUUUAUGUCAAAUCUAGCAGGAAAGUUGACCGCGCAUGAUGGUCAGAGAGCAAAUCUUUUGACACGACCCAGCUGUCAAGAUCUCAAUGAGAGCUUACUAUCUCGUUGAAAGGCCAUAAAGCUGAGUUUAAGUAUUUCAUUUUCAAAGGGCCGAGUCGCAAGCAGUUCAUUAGGAUGAUACUGGGAGUUACGCGGACUUUGCAGUAAUAUUGCGAUCGUCGUGGAUUUUACAUCGUGAAAAUCCAGUUUGCAGGAUCACAAAGGUGGUGCGGAUGGAAAGAUCCAUACAGUGGGAAUGAAUCUGAGAUGCACAAUGCGAACUUGCAGCAUGAGAAGUGGGACGAGAAAACAAUCAUGCUGCAUAAGUUUAACAAAGAAAGUAGGUCCUCCAUGUUACUGAACACCCUGCUCUGCAAAGGCAUGCACCCAAGAUCUGAGACAGUGAGAGCCCACAGACUCACAUCGCACCUGGAGGGGUGAAAGGUUUAUUUUGCUACACGGUCGUGCGUGCAUUAAUACGAAUAUUCUAAUAAAAGUCGCAUUGAAGGCUGAUCGCAUCACAAAAAGCCGAUGAACAGGAAAAAGAUCCAGUGCUGCCGCUUUUAGCAAGAAACCAUUCAAGUGGACUGAACGAAACUCGGAGGGAGUCGUGGAUCUAUAUUCACACGAGCCGGCAAUUUCUGAGCCCUAAAGUGCUGUUCUUAAAUAGAGGAUAAAGAAAAUGCGUCUUUUGCAGCAGGGUAGCGAUAAACCGAGGGAAGAUCAAAACCAUGCCACGGUCUGAAAAUCCCAUGUCAUGGCGAAAAGAGGACCUCCAGUAGGCUUACCGGGGUCGUCCGACGGUUGAACCCAGUACGCUCUGUCUACAUCCAUGGACGCCAUCCCAGUAGAAGCCCAGUCUAGAUGAUCUUUCGCCCUGCCUUGAAAAUACUGGAAGUAAAACAUGUUUGUCAUGUUUUAGGCUAACUUGAAGCCAUUUUUACUAACCUUGCACGGCGUGACUUUCUCGUAAUGGAUCCUCCCAGCCACAUGGUUGCUUCAGAAAGUAGGGAUGUUCCUGCUACUUUUUGUUGCUCUCAUUCCCAACAGCCCUAAAUUAUCCGUAGUAACCAUAGACAAGGAAUCCGGUGAAUGGAUGUUCGUCGGAAUCCCUCGCGUUGCGAACCACGAGUGCCGCUAUUCGUGCCCUUCUUCAUCGGGCGGCUGGAACUCGCACGGGUGCACAUUCGGCGGCCGAUCUUCAGCCCUGCAGUGACGCAGGUUGCGGAGCCCGACCGACGGAAGAAUGCAUCAGAUGCACAACGGUCGAUGCGCCGGAUGUAAAAUAUAAAGCCAAUAAUUCUGUACAUUUGGAGAAGUAGAUAAUUAAACAGGGAGACACAAUCGUAGCUGAUCCGCGUGCAUACAUAUUUCAAGCUUGUGUCACCACUUGGUGCCUCCAUUAUUUGUUUAUUUAUUUAUCGUUUCCCCACUCGUUA